UUAAACAAAUUAAAUAAAUCCUUAAUUACAGAUGUAAAAAUGCAGAAUUAUAUUUUGUGAUGGUUAGAUUUAAGGUCUGGAUACCGAAGAUACUGAAGGUCUGGAUAAGUUUCAUUCUGAAGGUCUGGAAUUUAUCACCGCUUUCUUUGGUCAAGGCCCGCCCAAGAGGCCAUAUGACUGACAGGUAAAGCAACGUUUGGUUUUGUGCCGUGUCAUGUUUAGAGGUGUGGAAAUGUCCCCACAGUAACAGACCAGUGUACAUUCACGUACGUGUCAAAAGUUAACAGAAACAACAAUGAUUAUAAAUUUAUGCCGUGAACCUCGCAUACUUUUAAGAACUAAGCAUUUAGUCGAUCGUGAUGAAUUCUUAUAGCAACCGAUGUAAACACGACAGCUUACUUCUUAGAUCAGACGGCCUCAUGUUGUUGGCGGACCUGGAAAUUCAACCAAUCAGAUGACGACUUCGAACGUGCUGAAGUGUUUCCAGAAAAGUGUGCCUUAUGCAUCAAACCUGAGACUAGGUUUAAGCAACUGGAGUGCAGAAGCAGCAGUUUUGUGACACUGGGUGUUGUGGACUGUGUUGGGACUGGGGGAUAUGGCAGGCAUUCUGGGUGGCAUUGAAGGACAGUGGAAGAAGAACGGAACAGAGGCUAGAGAGGGUGAUUGGUGGAAAAGUCCCUGACAGCAGAGGACCAGAAGCAGCUGAGGCUGGUGACACAUGUCAGCAUCGAGAUAGUGUAUCCUCUCUGUCUGCCCCUUCCCUAUAACCUCUCUCUCUCUCUCUCUCUCUCUCUAUCUAGGGACAUACUGUUCCAUCUCCCUUUCUCUCUUACACACAAUAAAAAAUUGGUUGUUGUGAAAUCACACUAUGUUAAUAAGGGAACUCAUAAAAAUAGCUAACCUUGUGCACACACUUUUUAUCACAUCAGGGACUUUCCUUUGAUGUCUAUUGUUUCAAAACCGAGGUCAUGUUAACUGUAA